rnacentral:rRNA from 1 species
GACGAACGCUGGCGGCGUGCUUAACACAUGCAAGUUGAACGGAACGGCCCUGCUAUUGUGGGGUGCUCGAGUGGCGAACGGGUGAGUAACACGUGAGUAACCUGCCCUUGACUUUGGGAUAACUUCAGGCAACUGGGGCUAAUACCGGAUAGGAGCUCCUGCUGCAUGGUGGGGGUUGGAAAGUUUCGGCGGUUGGGGAUGGACUCGCGGCUUAUCAGCUUGUUGGUGGGGUAGUGGCUUACCAAGGCUUUGACGGGUAGCCGGCCUGAGAGGGUGACCGGUCACAUUGGGAUUGAGAAUGGUGCCAGACUGCUACGGGAUGCAGCAGUGGGGCAUAUUGGACAAUGGGCCGAAGCCCGAUGCAGCAACGCCGCGUGUGGGGUGAGGGCCAUGGGGUUGUAGUCCGCGUUUGCCUGGGACUGAGCGGGCGGGACGGUAAGGGAUAGAGAAGCACAGGCUAACUACGUG